rnacentral:tRNA from 1 species
AUUAGGAUGGCAGAGCCCGGACACUGCAAAAGGUCUAAGCCCUUUUCACAGGGGUUCAAAUCCCCUUCCUAAUC